UACUCUAAUUAAAGUCUAGAAAUCUCUAGAGCCCUAAACUUUAAACUUAACUUUUAACCUUGAAUAAAUACAUAAGUAAAAAUAGCCAUUGGUCAAUAUUUCCCGCCAAAACCUUUGACCCCCUUUGUCCAGUGUGUCUAGCUAAUUACUAGCCCAGGAGCAGUCAAAGUGUAUAGUUGUGUAUUUGUAUUUUUGGAGAAAUCUUUAAGACCACUGACAAUAUUGAUAAUCCAUAUAAGCCAUACACACAAAUCAUGUAAGAGAGGGAUUCAUACCCAUAGUCUGAAUCUGCUUUAUGAUGAUGCAUUUGGUAUUUAUGCAACUGUAAUAAACAUCAUCACAGUGAAACAUCUUGUUUUCAAUUGCUGCUCCCGCUACAAAAUUUGGCGCCCAACGUGGGGCACUGAUGUUGAUGGCACCACCUACAGGAGCCACCUCCAGCCCCUCAUAGAUGUUACAGUCAGUGGUGGAUCCAAGCCUUCACUCUGCAUUUGAACAGCUGUUGUGUUUUGCCACAGACAAUCAACACCCAAGGUAACUCACCUGUGUCACACCUGACUGAGUUUUGUUCAGCAGAAACUGUACCUGUGUAAAUACCUGUGUUAC